UGGGAUCAAAUCAAAGGCACAGUGAACUCCUCAUAUCAUCUUCUUUGGGAUCACUCAGGAACCAGAACCUCACACGAAUGUAAGAAAUUCUACCAAGGAGUCCCUUUACCUAACAGCGUCUCACAAGACUCCAGUCAGAUUCCAGAAAAGACUUCUUAAUACAUCAAGGUAGAACCUC
ensembl:misc_RNA